rnacentral:rRNA from 1 species
CCCUUAGAUGUCCUGGGCCGCACGCGCGCUACACUGAUGCAUUCAACGAGUGACCUUAGCCGAGAGGCCUGGGCAAUCUUUUGAACGUGCAUCGUGAUAGGGAUAGAUUAUUGCAAUUGUUAAUCUUGAACGAGGAAUUCCUAGUAAACGCGAGUCAUCAGCUCGCAUUGAUUACGUCCCUGCCCUUUGUACACACCGCCCGUCGCACCUACCGAUUGAAUGGUUCGGUGAAGAUCUCGGACUUCGAUAUUUAUUCUUUAUUGAGUUUAUAUUGUGGGAAGUUAUCUAAACCUCAUCAUUUAGAGGAAGGUGAAGUCGUAACA